GACAGAGGGUGCAAACGUUGUUCGGAAUUACUGGGCGUAAAGCGCGUGUAGGCGGCUAUGUAAGUCGGGCGUGAAAUCCCACGGCUCAACCGUGGAAGUGCACCCGAAACUGCGUAGCUAGAGUCCUGGAGAGGGAGGUGGAAUGCUUGGUGGUAGAAGGUGAAAUUUCGUAGAUAUCAAAGCGGAACACCGGUGGCGAAGGCGG
rnacentral:rRNA from 1 species